rnacentral:rRNA from 1 species
CCUACGGGUGGCUGCAGUGGGGAAUAUUGGACAAUGGGGGCAACCCUGAUCCAGCCAUGCCGCGUGUGUGAAGAAGGCCCUCGGGUUGUAAAGCACUUUCAGGGAGGAAGAACGCCUGGUGGUUAAUACCCAUCAGGAAAGACAUCACUCACAGAAGAAGCACCGGCUAACUCCGUGCCAGCAGCCGCGGUAAUACGGAGGGUGCGAGCGUUAAUCGGAAUUACUGGGCGUAAAGCGCGCGUAGGUGGCUUGAUAAGCCGGUUGUGAAAGCCCCGGGCUCAACCUGGGAACGGCAUCCGGAACUGUCAAGCUAGAGUGCAGGAGAGGAAGGUAGAAUUCCCGGUGUAGCGGUGAAAUGCGUAGAGAUCGGGAGGAAUACCAGUGGCGAAGGCGGCCUUCUGGACUGACACUGACACUGAGGUGCGAAAGCGUGGGUAGCAAACAGGAUUAGAUACCCUAGUAGUC